GACGAAGGGGGCUAGCGUUGUUCGGAAUUACUGGGCGUAAAGCGCGCGUAGGCGGUCUUUCAAGUCAGGAGUGAAAGCCCCGGGCUCAACCCGGGAAUAGAUCUUGAUACUGUUGGACUUGAGUCCGGGAGAGGGUAGUGGAAUUCCCAGUGUAGAGGUGAAAUUCGUAGAUAUUGGGAAGAACACCAGUGGCGAAGGCGGCUAUCUGGACCGGUACUGACGCUGAGGCGCGAAAGCGUGGGGAGCAAACAGG
rnacentral:rRNA from 1 species